rnacentral:rRNA from 1 species
UACGUAGGGUGCGAGCGUUAAUCGGAAUUACUGGGCGUAAAGCGUGCGCAGGCGGUUUUGUAAGACAGGCGUGAAAUCCCCGAGCUCAACUUGGGAAUGGCGCUUGCGACUGCAAGGCUAGAGUAUGUCAGAGGGGGGUAGAAUUCCACGUGUAGCAGUGAAAUGCGUAGAGAUGUGGAGGAAUACCGAUGGCGAAGGCAGCCCCCUGGGACGUCACUGACGCUCAUGCACGAAAGCGUGGGGAGCAAACAGG